GAUUAAAAAGAUGAAACAAAAAUCACGUGCCCUAUCUCGUCUGAUCUCAGAAGCUAAGUAGGGUCGGGCCUGGUUAGUACUUGGAUGGGAGAACACCUAGGAAGACCAGGUGCUGUAGACG
rnacentral:rRNA from 1 species